GUCCCGUCUGUAUCCAUGAACAGCAGGAGAGAACAGCAUAGUCCGGCCGCAUCUACUCCCGGAUUCCCCUUCUUAUGGCUCUCCUCCUCUCCGCAGUCUCUGAAGUUCCCUCCUUUCAUGUUUUGCGCUUCUUCUUCUCUUCGAGCUUCUGCAUCAGUUAAUUUAUGGUGUUCUGCUUCCUGCAGAUCUCCUGCGUUUCUUUUUUUCUUUCUGCAUGUUUGAUCUUUGUCUUUGGUCUGUCGGAUGGUUGGAUCCGAAGCGGAGCUCCUAUCUUUCCAAUGAAGGGUCGUUUUGAUCGGGUGGUACAGCUGCUCGUUCAUGGUUACCACUGACCUAUCUCAUCACAUGGAGGUUUAUCCGAGUGUUGGGGAGAGGGAGAUGUGCUCAAAUCAGUAGCCUGGUAUUGAGAUUGAGAUAGGCUUGUGGCUUGCAUGACUGAGGAACUGCACCAUCCCAUUGCUGGCCGCUCUUUGGAUUGAAGGGAGCUCUGCGUCUCGAUCCCACAAGGCCCCCCGCUGCUUCAGUUUGUGCGCCCUUAGUUGUCGCCACUUGGGAUUGCUCGCUUAAUCAGCGCUAUUAUUUGUUACUGCUCGAAUUACUUUUUGAUCCUUUUAGUCCAUGCGUAGAUCUGGGUUUAGUUUGUCAUUUAAACAUGUUCUGUUGUUCAGUUUCUUUAUCGUCUACUACUGAAGCUUGCUUGGCCAAAUCACCAUCACUUGUUUGUUAUCUUUCCGCCUGAAUCAAGCAGCUCCCAUGGACUUAUCCGUGCUGCUGGAUGCUUCCAAGUGCCAAGUAAGCAGCUCAAAUGCUCAAUCUAGGCCAAUCCUCUGCUGGGCUGUUGGCGCUGAACUGGUAGCUGCUAAUGGAGCCCGAAGCCAUGUACACAACUUUCCUUGUUCCAUUUUUGUACGUGGUUUGUGCAUGAUGUGGGUGCACAACUAUUCGGUCUAACAGAAUUAAUCAUAGGCCGUAUGGUUUUUCUUUUUUAUUUGCAUGAUGUAUUCUAUGUGCAAAGAAAAAGGUAUUAUCACUGGUAUUUGCAUAAUGUGUCGCCUUGUACCUGGGACGGGGGCAGAAUGGAAAGAACGUGCCGCCUUGUA